rnacentral:rRNA from 1 species
GGGUAGGGGUGAAAGGCCAAUCAAACUCCGUGAUAGCUGGUUCUCCCCGAAAUGCAUUUAGGUGCAGCGUCACGUGUUUCUUGCCGGAGGUAGAGCUACUGGAUGGCCGAUGGGCCCUCACAGGUUACUGACGUCAGCCAAACUCCGAAUGCCGGUAAGUGAGAACGUGGCAGUGAGACUGCGGGGGAUAAGCUUCGUAGUCGAGAGGGAAACAGCCCAGAUCGCCGGCUAAGGCCCCUAAGCGUGUACUAAGUGGAAAAGGAUGUCCGGUCGCGAAGACAACCAGGAGGUUGGCUUAGAAGCAGCCACCCUUGAAAGAGUGCGUAAUAGCUCACUGGUCUAGUGGCUGGGCGCCGACAAUUUAGCGGGGCUCAAGUACACCGCCGAAGCCGCGGCACUCACAUCUUUGGUGUGGGUGGGUAGGGGAGCGUCGUGCAGCCGUAGAAGCAGCAGGGUGACCUAGUUGUGGAGGCUGUGCGAGUGAGAAUGCAGGCAUGAGUAGCGAAUGACACGUGAGAAACGUGUCCUCCGGAUGACCAAGGGUUCCUGGGCUAGGUUAAUCCUCCCAGGGUGAGUCGGGACCUAAGGCGAGGCCGACAGGCGUAGUCGAUGGACAACGGGUUGAUAUUCCCGUACCCGUGUCAGAUCGCCCCUGAUGAAUCAGUUGUACUAACCGUCCUGAAGCUCAGGUCAUCACCUUCGGGUGAAGCCUAAGUGGAUGCACGGGACCUCGGCUGGUAGUAGUCAAGCGAUGGGGUGACGCAGGAAGGUAGUGGGGCCAGUCAGUGGUUGUACUGGUGUAAGCCUGUAGGGCGAGAUCUAGGCAAAUCCGG